rnacentral:rRNA from 1 species
GACGAACCGUGCGAACGUUGUUCGGAUUCACUGGGCUUAAAGGGCGCGUAGGCGGGUCAUCAAGUCUGGGGUGAAAUCCUUCGGCUCAACCGGAGAAGUGCCCCCGAUACUGGUGGUCUGGAGGGAGGUAGGGGUGUGUGGAACUUCCGGUGGAGCGGUGAAAUGCGUAGAUAUCAGGAGGAACACCAAUAGCGAAGGCAGCUCGCUGGGACGGUACUGACGCUAAGGCGCGAAAAGCGUGGGGGAGCGAACAGG